rnacentral:rRNA from 1 species
GCGGAGGAAAAGAAACUAACCAGGAUUGUCUCAGUAAGGGCGACUGAAGCGACAAUAGCUCACCAUGUGAAUCUGCGGCCGAAUUGUGGUCUCACUUGCGUCACUGGCUGGGCCAAGUCCGUUGGAAUACGGCAGCUGAGAGGGUGAGACUCCCGUUCGCCCAGCCUCGAGAGCAAGUGUUUACGAGUCGAGUUGUUUGGGAUUGCAGCUCUAAGUGGGUGGUAAAUUCCAUCGAAAGCUAAAUACUGGUGGGAGACCGAUAGCGUACAAGUACCGUGAGGGAAAGAUGCAAAGAAGCGCGAAAGCGCUGUUAAAGAGUACCUGAAAUUGCUGAAACGGAAGCGAAGGAAACCAGUGCCAGCUGCAUCAUACUUCCCCCCCCGCUUGCGGAUGGGGCGCUGUGGUCAGCGUUGUCAUCCUUGGUGGGCCGGCGCGGAAGAGUGCGGGGGGAGUUGACCCCCGUUUC